UACGGGGGGGCAAGCGUUGUUCGGAAUUACUGGGCGUAAAGAGUGUGUAGGCGGUGUUCUAAGUUUGUCGUGAAAUCUCCCGGCUUAACUGGGAGGGUGCGGCGAAAACUGGAAUGCUAGAGGAUGGGAGAGGUAAGCGGAAUUCCUGGUGUAGCGGUGAAAUGCGUAGAUAUCAGGAGGAACACCUGUGGUGUAGACAGCUUACUGGACCAUUUCUGACGCUGAGACACGAAAGCGUGGGUAGCAAACAGG
rnacentral:rRNA from 1 species